AUCAAAUAAUCAAACCAAAUGCUCUACAUAUGCCUCUGCCAAGGUAUUGCCAUUGACAAUAUUUGUUGUUCCAAUAAUCAUAUCAUAUGCCAUCCCUUCCUGAGCACUAAGAAAUCGGAGAGCAGAAAUUUCUGCAAAUGUAACCCCUCCAAUAAAUACAACAAGUACAAGGGAGCGUCUUCCGUCAGCUACUAAUCUGUCUGCAGCUUCUGAAGACCUGUGUAAUGUGUCAAAAGAUGGACUGCUUGAGAAUCCAACUCUCUUUGUUUCCGAGUGUGGUCCAGGCAACAACUUCAAAAUUUCUUCCAUGGGACGCCAUCCAGAACGAACAGCAUGCUGAACAAGACGAAUACUUAGUGGUGCAUAUCCAGAAAAGACAUAGGAAAUGUCAUUUGGGUUGGCAGUGUCAGUAUCUUCAACCACAAGUUGUAGAGCACGCUUGACUGUCAGCCAGUUGCUUUUCG
rnacentral:misc_RNA from 1 species